rnacentral:sRNA from 1 species
CACAAGGGGUGAAGCCUGCGGUUCAAUUGGAGUCAACGCCGGGAAUCUUACCGGGGGCGACAGCAGGGUGAAGGUCAAGCUGAAGACUUUACUAGACAAGCUGAGAGGAGGUGCAUGGCCGUCGCCAGCUCGUGCCGUGAGGUGUCCUGUUAAGUCAGGUAACGAGCGAGACCCCUGCUUCUAGUUGCUACUUCUAUUCUUCGGAGUAGAAGGGCUAAUUAGAAGGACUGCCGCCGCUAAGGCGGAGGAAGGAGGGGGCUACGGCAGGUCAGUAUGCCCCGAAACCCUCGGGCCACACGCGGGCUGCAAUGGUAAGUACAAUAGGUUCCGAUUCCGAAAGGAGGAGGCAAUCCCGUAAAACUUACCACAGUUAUGAUUGAGGGCUGAAACUCGUCCUCAUGAAUAUGGAAUCCCUAGUAAUCGCGUGUCAUCAUCGCGCGGUGAAUACGUCCCUGCUCCUUGCACACACCGCCCGUCGCUUCAUCGAAGUUGGUUUUAGGCGAGGUGGUGCGAUUUGGCAUUAUCGAACCUGAGAUCAGCAACGAGGGAGAAGUCGUAACAAGGUGGCCGUAGGGGAACCUGCGGCCGGAUCACCUCCUUAACUUCGAGGUCGGACAAUCUUGUGUAAAAUAUUGUGUAACUAUAACAAUAUGCAAUUUCUUCAUUAUUUGAAGAAAUGAAGGAUGAAACAAGCUCAUGGCUUGUAAUGAUCGUCAUACAAAAGAACAAAAAAAUCCACUGACAGAAAAUGUGGCAAAUUGAUCAUAUGGGAAAUUCCGUAAGAUAGAAUGAAUUGAAGUACAUGAACAUCUGGUAAUAAUGCUGGUGCAAAGACGCCGGUUGGAGGAUGACUCGGCUUGAUAAGUGAU